UACGGGGGGGGCAAGCGUUGUUCGGAAUUACUGGGCGUAAAGGGCUCGUAGGCGGCCAACUAAGUCAGACGUGAAAUCCCUCGGCUUAACCGGGGAACUGCGUCUGAUACUGGUUGGCUUGAAUCCGGGAGAGGGAUGUGGAAUUCCAGGUGUAGUGGUGAAAUGCGUAGAGAUCCGGAGGAACCCCAGAGGCGAAGGCGGCCCCCUGGCUCGUACCUGACGCUCAGCCACGAAAGCAUGGGGAGCGAACGGG
rnacentral:rRNA from 1 species